GUUACAGUUAGACCCCUUCCUAUUGGAAGUUUGGAACAUCAGUUAGUGGAAAGGUAGAAAAGCAACGUGCCCACUUCUUUGGUGUAACAAUAAACGAUGAACAAGCUGAGUCUGGGAUUGUUGUUAGGGUAACUUCAACAGCACAAAGCAAAUUCAAGUUACUUUACUUUGAACAGGACGUCAAUGGUGGCUACGGUUUGGCCUUACAGGUAUUAAGCACUUGUCUUUGAUUCUUGUCAUCGCCGUUGUUUUAUUUGCUUAUAAUUUUUGUAUUAAAUGAUUGACUUU